UGGGAACCACAUAUAAUAUUCUACACUUCGAUGCUUCAAUGGACUUUUGGUUCCAUUAAACCUAUUUUUCCCCCACUUAGGAUCCCCGUUGCAAAGAGGGGAGGUCUCGCAUCCAGCUGUAGGCCUCUCAUUCAAGGUUCUUGCUGCAGCCAGCAGUGUCCUUGGAGUCUAGUUCAAAGCUGGAGAGAGUGAACCAGGGAGCCAGGAGCCAUUGGUGGAGGGGCUGGCCCGAAGGAAGUGAAGUAUUUCAGCCAGAAUGUAUUGACGCACGACCAGGAAACCACAAGACUGGUGAAAACCUUUCCAAGCCUGAGCCCUAUGAUCAAAAGAGGUGCAGGAAACAGCUCUGCCAAGAGUCCUUUCUGCUGCCUGCUGGAGCCCUGCGCCUCUGAUGCUUUCUGAGUCAACUCCCUGAGCAGAUGCUAUCGCUCAAGGAGGCAUUGCCCAAGCAUUUUCUUACUUUGCUCUGACGUGGCCCCACAGAUAUGUCAUCAGCGUGAUAGUUCAAAAGGAAUGAUGCCUCCAUGACACUUGUUCCCUUACUACGCUUCAUGUGACCUGUGUGUCAGCUCUAUAGGACUUCCAGCAGCGUCAAGUUGGCUUCUCAUCAAGAUGAUUCAGAAAAUGCUGCUGAGCUGUGGUGCACAAACAAGGACAUGAGGUACUGG